rnacentral:rRNA from 1 species
UACGUAGGGUGCGAGCGUUAAUCGGAAUUACUGGGCGUAAAGCGCGCGUAGGUGGUUCGUUAAGUUAGGAGUGAAAGCCCCGGGCUCAACCUGGGAAUUGCUUCUAAAACUGGCGAGCUAGAGUAUGGUAGAGGGUGGUGGAAUUUCCUGUGUAGCGGUGAAAUGCGUAGAUAUAGGAAGGAACAUCAGUGGCGAAGGCGACCACCUGGACUGAUACUGACACUGAGGUGCGAAAGCGUGGGGAGCAAACAGG